rnacentral:rRNA from 1 species
GGAUGACGGCCUUCGGGUUGUAAACCUCUUUCAGACAGGGAACAAAGCGUAAGUGACGGUACCUACAGAAGAAGCAACGGGCCAACGCCGUGCCAGCAAGCACGUGAGAGUAGGGCGCGAGAGGUUGUCCGGAUUUAUUGGGGGAAAGAGCUCAUAGACAGCUUGUCGCGUCGCCCGUGAAAACCUGGGGCUCAACCCCAGACCUGCGGUCGAUACGGGCAGGCUAGAGUUCGGUAGGGGAGACUGGAAUUCCUGGUGUAGCGGUGAAAUGCGCAGAUAUCAGGAGGAACACCGGUGGCGAAGGCGGGUCUCUGGGCCGAUACUGACGCUGAGGAGCGAAAGCGUGGGGAGCGAACAGGAUUAGAUACCCUGGUAGUCCACGCUGUAAACGUUGGGCGCUAGGUGUGGGGGGCCUCUCCGGUUCCCUGUGCCGCAGCUAACGCAUUAAGCGCCCCGCCUGGGGAGUACGGCCGCAAGGCUAAAACUCAAAGGAAUUGACGGGGGCCCGCACAAGCGGCGGAGCAUGCGGAUUAAUUCGAUGCAACGCGAAGAACCUUACCUGGGUUUGACAUGGCCGCAAAACUGUCAGAGAUGGCAGGUCCUUCGGGGGCGGUCACAGGUGGUGCAUGGCUGUCGUCAGCUCGUGUCGUGAGAUGUUGGGUUAAGUCCCGCAACGAGCGCAACCCUCGUUCGAUGUUGCCAGCGCGUUAUGGCGGGGACUCAUCGAAGACUGCCGGGGUCAACUCGGAGGAAGGUGGGGAUGACGUCAAGUCAUCAUGCCCCUUAUGUCCAGGGCUUCACGCAUGCUACAAUGGCCGGUACAAUGGGCUGCGAUACCGUGAGGUGGAGCGAAUCCCAAAAAGCCGGUCUCAGUUCGGAUCGGGGUCUGCAACUCGACCCCGUGAAGUCGGAGUCGCUAGUAAUCGCAGAUCAGCAACGCUGCGGUGAAUACGUUCCCGGGCCUUGUACACACCGCCCGUCACGUCACGAAAGUCGGCAACACCCGAAGCCGGUGGCCCAACCCUUGUGGAGGGAGCCGUCGAA